rnacentral:rRNA from 1 species
UACAGAGGUCUCAAGCGUUGUUCGGAUUCAUUGGGCGUAAAGGGUGUGUAGGUGGCGCCCGUAAGUCGGGUGUGAAAUUUCGGAGCUUAACUCCGAAACUGCAUUCGAUACUGCGGUGCUUGAGGACUGGAGAGGAGACUGGAAUUCAUGGUGUAGCAGUGAAAUGCGUAGAGAUCAUGAGGAAGACCAGUGGCGAAGGCGGGUCUCUGGACAGUUCCAUGACACU